ACGGAACCCGGGUCUGCGGCCUCGCCCCUCGGACCCCAGGCUCCCCUUCCGCAGGCCCUGCAUUCUCCCCUACGCAGCCGGGCCUCAGUGUCCUGAUCCGGGAAGUGGGCGCGCAACGCCUGGCUGAGCGGUGAGGGCGCGGACUCAGCUCAGCCUCCCUGCCGGCCCGGGGCACAAAGGCACUGCUCCGCCGGGAGGCCCCCACAGGAGCGCGAGGUCCCCAGCGUGCCAAACUCCCAGCGAUAACGUCUUUUUCUGGAUCGUGGAGUUAGAAAAACAGCAACAGCAGCAAACUUCCCUUCUUGGAGGACGCGCUCCGUCCCGAACACUCGUGAAUCCUCGCGCGCGACGCUGGCUGCGCUCUGGACUCCUUCGCGGGAAUGCCCCUCGGGGCGGAAGCCGCAUCUCCCUGGAGCGGGCGCUCACCCGAGGCAGGGUGGCCGGUGAAGGACUCAGGAGACAGCUGUGGCGGCCGAAUUCCUGCAGAUAUUUUAGCUCCGACCAGCCCGACCCUCUCCAAGGACACGGUGCCGGACCGCCAGCCGGAAAGCCGGAGGGUCUUGGGGCCUCCCGAGAUGUCCCAGACGUGCUGCGCGCUCAGAGGUGGUAUUCUCCUCCCGAGGCGUUUGUGGGAGACUCAGAGAAGACAGAUUCGCUUAAGUUACUGUGGAUGAAAAAGGCCAUCAAGGUCAAGCCUCUGUCCCGCAAAGGCUGUCCCGCAUCAGCAGAGUGUGCCCAGGUCAGUGGGGAGCCCCCAGGUCAGCAGAGUGUCCUCAGGUUGGUGGAGAGUUCCCCGGUCAGCGGAGUGUCCCGUGGGCAGGCUCCUGGCUCCCUGCGUUCAGGGUCCCCUCCCUCGUAGGACUACCUGUCCUGGGUCCCCACAUUGGUGACGGAGGCCUGUGGGCUCAUGCUGGGUGGGGACCCCCACAGGUGACCCUCAAGCUCCUCCAGCCUGGCCUGCCAUCCCCUGUCCAGUAGCCUUGGUUACCUGGCACGGCCUCACGCCUUGCCCAGAUGGAUGGCUCCAACCAACAGUCCCCAGCCUUUCCCACACCAGGGGCCG
rnacentral:lncRNA from 1 species